GUCCAGACUCCUACGGGAGGCAGCAGUGGGGAAUAUUGCACAAUGGGGGGAACCCUGAUGCAGCGACGCCGCGUGGGUGAAGGAGUACUUCGGUACGUAAAGCCCCAUCAGCAGGAAAGAAAAUGACGGUACCUGACUAAGAAGCCCCGGCUAACUACGUGCCAGCAGCCGCGGUAAUACGUAGGGGGCAAGCGUUAUCCGGAUUUACUGGGUGUAAAGGGAGCGUAGACGGCAGUGCAAGUCUGGAGUGAAAGCCCGGGGCUCAACUCCGGGACUGCUUUUGAAACUGUGUGACUGGAGUGCAGGAGAGGUAAGCGGAAUUCCUGGUGUAGCGGUGAAAUGCGUAGAUAUCAGGGGGAACACCAGUGGCGAAGGCGGCUUACUGGACUGUAACUGACGUUGAGGCUCGAAAGCGUGGGGAGCAAACAGGAUUAGAUACCCGAGUA
rnacentral:rRNA from 1 species